GGGGUACAGAAAAUAAAUGGGAGAAAAGGGGGAGGGGGUUAAAGCAGAUAAACGUAGAUGACACUUGCAACUCAUUAGCUUAAUUCACAGUUCAGCCAGGGUAUUUAUUUAUUUUUUUACAUGCUCACAAACAGCAAUAUACAAUCAUUACGCAGUGUUCUCUUUGCCCCAAUCAGUUCCCCAUGUUAACCCAGCAACUCCCCUAUUUCCUCCCUUGUGAGUCAGUGUCUCUCCGCUGCUGUGGGUCUAUGGUGGCAGACCUGCACAGUGCACAUAAAGUUCAGGUGCUCAGGUAACUCCCGAAUGCGUCUACCACAGUUGCUGUUAUUGAGGCCCUGGGAAUUGUGUCUUUGGUUGCAUUAGAGUGCCUCAGUGGGCAUAGCUGAGCUCCCCGGGUGUCACGUGGUGUGUGCAAGGGCAAAGAUCAAUGAGGGUUGCUGUCAAGGUAAGCGUCCUGUCAGAAGGUGUUGUCCCUUCCUCAUCUUGUGGGUAUUUGCUACAGUGUGGUUUGAGCUCCCUGAGGGGCUUGUGGGCGCUGUGUAACUGGUGUCGGCAACCUUCCCGUCUUGGGUAUCCAUUCUGGCUAGGCGACCCUCCACUUUUUUCACCAGAUCGUUGUGGGCCUCCUCGUGUUCCAUCAUCUUGCCCUCAAUCGAGGCUGUUCUAUCCCCCAGUUCUCGGAGGUCAGAGCACAGGCUUUUCUUUUUGCAAAAGACAAAAUGACUGUCAGUAUGAUUCUGACAUGUAUUAUUACUACGAGCCAUUUAUUGUCACAGACACCAACAGAUGAGACAUUUCCAAAUGAUACACAAUUUAGUCUCAGGACUGAAUGCUGCGAUGUUUAUGAUUCUAUUUGCACCUCAAGGCAGCAAUCCUUGUAGAGCCCAGUUGUAUAUAGUUUUCUAGACUUGAAGGAGUCGUUGCUCUGUUGCAAUGAGUUUCUGUUGCAUAAUAUUUAGGAAACGUUUGAUUCUAACACGUUUCACCACACCUAUGCUAUCUUGCACGGUCACCCAGGUCACGGUAAUUUUCAACUGCGAUUGUCGAGAAUCUAAAGGUAAAAUGUCUCAAAACAAUAUCUCAUCAGCCUUGGGACAUCUAUAAAUAGCAAAAAGUCACUAAC